rnacentral:rRNA from 1 species
GACAGAGGUGCCGAGCGUUAGGCGGAAUCACUGGGCUUAAAGCGUGUGUAGGCGGAUCGUUAAGUGUCUUGUGAAAUCCCACGGCUCAACCGUGGAAUGGCUGGGCAUACUGGCUGUCUUGAGCCACUUAGGGGCGACCGGAACAAACGGUGGAGCGGUGAAAUGCGUAGAUAUCGUUUGGAACGCCAAAGGUGAAAACAGGUCGCUGGGAGUGUGCUGACGCUGAGAC